AUCUUCUUUUACCUAUCUGGCCAAGGCGCAUCCCCUUUCGCCUCGUUCUCCCAGCUAGGGUUGCGACUGCCGCCCCCACACGAGGCCCUGCCCCAUCCAUGAAUACAGAUCCACAGAGGUUGAUGGCAGGGCCCUAAGAUCGAUGGCACGGAGGAGGAUGCAUAGCGGUUCUAUCAUGCUGGGUUGAGUGCUAACCUAAGCUGAUCGGCCAAGGAGAUGGUUGUCUGCGACGUCUUCCUUAGGCAGGGAGGGUAGGGAAAGAUGAAGAGCGGAUGGGGAGGGAGACGGCGAGCCUAUGGAGAAGCGCCGCCAGGAGCAGAUAUGACUGUCUUCUGUAAGAAGCAACGCCCCUCCACCUCCGAGCGGUGAUCGAGGUUGGCAGCGCACUGCUCUAUUCCAAAUUGCAUACAUGUCUAAUUUGAUACUAUGUGUGUGUGCCUGUCUAAUUUGCUAUUCUGUAUGACUUGGUCCGUCAUGCGCAUUCCCACUACCCUUAGGAUGGCAUCCAAUCUUUAUUGUUGUUCAUUUAGGUUCUUCCAAUGUUUUACCUGCUUCUUCUUCCUCUACUUCAAACCAACCUUUCAUAGGUAUGAAUCAUUGUCUUGAAGCUCAUGCAUGUUCCCUCUUUUCUGCAGAAUAAACAAAUUCGUAAAAGGUAUACUAAUAAUAAAAAUCUAUACGGCAGACCAGACAUUAUGCUUCCAGUUCUCUGCAUCAUGCUACCUAGUGAGCAAUGAUAUUUACCUCCACCAAUUUGAUUGAUCCUAUGUGUUACUUCAGUUUAUCAGCUUCACUGUUCCUAAAGGCCUAAGCCGAAAUCACAUGUUAAUUCCCUAGGCAAUUUUUGUUCUCUUAAUACACCAUGGAAUUUUUUUGUCACCUAUCAUCGAACUCAGAGUACUUCACUUUAUAUAUUCAAUGCUUUUAGCUUGGUGUAUGAUUCUUUUGUAACUGGAUAAGAUUAGUGUCUACCUAUGCCUCUGUGUUUGUUUGAUAAUUUAUUGGGCAGAUUUCGAACUUGAAGAUACAAAGGAGGUGGCGUAGUGGGCAUGGAGAUCCUAGUGUUGAGUGUCUUGUUUGUCUAGCUACUUUCUGAACACAUGGUAACACUAACUAUUGGGGCUAAAUGAUACUGCUAUAUCGUUUUAUUGGCCUAAAUUUUAUUUAGUAAACAUGAAUGUUCCAUAUCCUAUUAAUACGUGUGCAUCUUGUCAGUUUGUUCCUAUUUGGGCUUAUUAUUAGUUAUUAUGUGAAAGUUAGUACUAAGUACUGCCCAUGAGAAAGCUCUUUCUAUUUAUGUGAUUCAGUUAACGAAUUCAGUUUUUCAUGGUUGAUGAAUACAGCAGGAGCCUGGGAUAUUUUAACCAUAGAGAUGGUGCAUAAUAAAUAAGCAAAAAAUAUAUCAGUGCUUUGUUGGAAUUCAAUUUGUUCGGCGGUCGACACGCCUCUCUUCAAGGCAAGGUCAGGUCUAGGGUGAGCUCAUCAUAUUUAUUUACUUAAUCUCAGGUACACUAACAUUCAUUUUUAUGUGAAUGAGGCCAGACAACAUUCGACCAAUGGUUUAUGUCUUUGAACUGGACCAUAACAUAAGUGAUUGACGAUUGGUUUAGUAUGCAUAGUUAUAUUCUUGGGUGCAUGUUAGAUCUAAUGAUUUGGAUCAUCUGUUGAUGCCACAGGAAAGCCUAGCUGAUGUGUUUGCAUUCAUUGAGUUCGCUGUUGAAGAGGGUGCUAGAGUUGCACUUAACCUUGGUGGCACAAUUCUUGGAUUCUACCAUUUUAGAGUCUUGCCUUCAAAGAAAACUAUCUUGCCUGUGAAUCCAAACUUUCUUCUGGUGAUAGAAGAUGAGAAGGAAAUGGUCGUAAGAACGGUUUAUUGUACAAAUAUAGACACGAAGGCUUACUAAUUUGGACAUAAGGAAGACGCCUUUUUGGAUGGCAUGGCAUUGAAUUCUCCCGUAAGAACUGCACUGGGUGAUGAGCGACGGUGGAUGAGAUGAGAAUAGGUGGCACGAGGUUGCAGCAGAGUCCGCAUCUGCUGGCUAUGCUCAUUGCUGUGGGAAAUGACAAUGAUAUCAUUGGGGAAGCAUCAGAAAGUACAACUUCUGCAACAUCUGUACCUACUAAAGAUUGUAUGAGUAUUGAUGUGCUUCUCCAAAUAGUACGUCGACACCAAGAAGGCAAAUAUUCUUUUCUAUAAAACAUGAACCUUUGAUUGAUUUGGGUUCAUUACUAAACUCUAUACAGCUUCCUCGUAUGCCUCCCACCUCCGAUAAGUCUCCUUUGGAUUCAGUUCUAUAUUAUUAUUUAUUUCCAAGUAUUUGUCACUCGAGUUUCUGAUAACCAUAAUGGGUGUCGGCUGCUACAAUGCGAACCAUAUCGAUUGGUGUAAUGUGGUGUUA